UACGUAGGGUGCGAGCGUUGUCCGGAUUUAUUGGGCGUAAAGGGCUCGUAGGCGGCGUGUCGCGUCGGGAGUGAAAGCCCGCUGCUUAACGGCGGGUUGGCUUCCGGUACGGGCAUCGCUGGAGUGCGGCAGGGGAGACUGGAAUUCCUGGUGUAGCGGUGGAAUGCGCAGAUAUCAGGAGGAACACCCGGUGGCGAAAGGCGGGUCUCUGGGCCGAUACUGACACUGAGAAGCGAAAGCGUGGGGAGCGAACAGG
rnacentral:rRNA from 1 species